CCCCGCCGAGGGGAGUGGGGGCGGCACUGCUUGGCACCAGCCCGGACGGGGUGGUGGGGCUGGCCGGGCGUCGCCGCGGCUUGGGGGCGCGGGAACCGCACCCUGGGCGGACGGGGACCCGCCAGGCGCUGGCAUUGUCCGACCACGGCUUCUGAUUGGCCGGCUGGAAGGGGCUCGGGACCUCUGUCCCGCGUCACAGAGCCAGCACCCGCCCCGGCUCCCGAGCUCUCUCCCCGCGGGGUCCCGGGGACCGUCCCACCCUGACUCCCUGGGCCGCGCGAGGGUUGCCCCCUCUGGGGCGUCCCCGCUCCGGGUAUCCGGGAGGCAGGGGGGCGGCGCUGCUGGAGGAGGCGGGGAGGGGAAGGGGGCCGCAGGGCUGGCCAGCUACUGACACAGCGCACCGUGCUGGGGGCUUGGCAUCCGCUCGUUCACAAGCCUGGCUCAAAAGGGGGUAACGGCUCAGAAAGGAAUUCUUGGCUUCUGGAAAGAGUGGUGUCAUUGAGGAAUUCCCCAGCUGGGCACCGGCUUCCCUUUUACUUCUUGCUAGAGCCUCUGCCCCUUCCAACCUUUUGUUUGCCUCUGCCCUUGGUCUCUCUCCCCCAAUGUGUGGAUUCCUGCUCCCCGUACCAGCUGGGCAAAGAUCUCUGAGGGCUGCAUAGACGGCCAGGGGACGACAGCCAGUGGGGCAGGUGCUGCUUUUAUCCCGUCUGGAGAGAUGAGGAAACCUCCCCAAGAGGCCAGACACUUCCAGAGAAGGCCAGCCAAGGAUUCCACCCUCAGCAGGAAAUGAGCAUCAGAUGCUGGUUGGGGGUGUUCCUGCCAGCUGCUGUCCCAGUGGCCACCUCCCUGAGGGAUGGGUAGGGGAGAGCAGACCAGCUCCACCCGGAAGAGAGGGGUGGACAGCAGGCAGAGCAGAGUGGCAUCAGACCCCUCCAGCCCAGCCCGGAAGUCAAGUGUAUCAGCUCCCGGCCAGCAGUAGCGGUCAGCUCCUCACCGGCAGCCCAGGGCUCAGAAGCCCGGGACAAAGUGAGUCGGCCUCCCUUCCCUCUGCUCAGAAAUGACAGCUGGUUGGUUUUUAAAGUUGUGAUGAAGUACGCAUAACGUAAUUUCCCAUUUUGACCAUCUUAAGUAUACGGUUCGGUGGUGUGUACAUUAUUAUGCAAUAUUAUUAUUACUUCACCACCAUCCCUCUCCAGAACAUUUUUCACCUUGCAAGAAUGAAAUUCUGUACUUAUUAAACGUUAACUCCCCGUUUCUUCUUCCCCGAGCCCCUGGCAACCACUGUUCCAUUUUCUCUUUGUAAACUGGACUAUUCCAAGCACCUCAUAGAAGUGGAAUCAUAACAGCAUUACUCCUUUUGUAACUGGCUUAUGUCACUCAGCACGAUGCCCCCAAGGGUCACCCAUGUUGUAGCUGAGUCAGACUCUCCUUCCUUUUUCCAACUGAAUAUUUCAUUGUUUAUGCAACACGGCCUGUCAGUGGACGCUUGGAUUGCUGCUACCCUGUGGCCGUCGUGAGUGAUGCUGCUUUGAACGUGGGUGUGCAAAUACCUGUUUGAGACCCUGCUUUCAAUUCUGAGGGUGGUCAGUUGACGUGUGUUGGCCUCCACAGGUGCCGAGCUCUGUUCUAAGUGCUUUACGCGCAUUAGCAGACACUCCUUCAUUAUCCCCUUUUCACAGACGAGGGAAACAGAGGCACAGAUAGGUCCAGUCAUGUGCAGAAGGAGGGUGCAGCUUGGAGCAAGGGUCAGCAGGUGCAAAGGCCCAGGGAGGGGAUCGCACAGGAAUGAAGGGCUGGGCUUCACUGGGAAGACCGGCCAAAGUGCCUUGGUCGCAAGGGCAGUGUUGACCGUGUGGUGGACUCCCCAGGACUGCGUGUCUAGGGCAUUCCAGGAUGUCACUGAGCCCUUUCCCCAUGGCACAGGCCACUUCCUUUUGCGAGACGACUAUGCAUUUACCACCGCCCUAAACCAGCUCUCCAGUCCUACUUCUCCCUGUCCGUCUCAGGCCAUCACCCAACCUGGGACCCUUCCCUCAUCCUGGGGACGCCCCACUCACCAACGGCACUGGGCAGAGCCAUUGUAUCCCCUGUUGACAGAUGAGGACACUGAGUCUCAGAGUGUAAGUGGACACAGAGUUUGAGGCCUUGAGGCUGUGGUCCCUGCUGCCACUGACCUUUCCCAAAAGGGGAAGUCACUUGUUCAAGGGUAUCUGAAGUUGCACCAGACCUCAGCUGGAGUCUGCUGACCUCCCCAGGGACCACGGGACGGCCAGGACAGCUGACCGGGAACCUCCCUCACAGGGCAUGCCCGCCCUCGCGCGCACUCACCAGGCCAAAUGUUUACCAAUAGAUAGUGCCCCUCCCAUCACCCAUGAAGCCUCUCCCCUCCCCCCUCCCCCAGAGGAAGCCGGCAGCACAAUCCCUUCAGCGUCUGCCUGAUGGAGAAACUGAGGCAGGGGAAAUGGCUCCUGCAGCUGUUCCAUGAGACUGGCCCACCUCAAGCCCAGCACUCUUCCAAGGAGUGCAGGGCAGUGCAAGUCAAGUUCAGCUCCUGUCUCUUCUGGCCUGGGGCUGCCCUGGGGCCCUUCUCCGAGUCCGUGGGAUUUCCAGGAAAACGGCCAGGAGGCUUGCUCCCCCAAAGGCCCCACCAAUGGCAGAGGCAAGUCGCAUGGCAGGGGCUCUCUGGGAAUCCCAGCACCACAUGGGCCUGGCCAGGCAGGGACGACAGGGAUGCUUCCCCGCAGCCUCUCAGGGCCUGGGUGCUGAGAACUCCCCCUCAUCCGACAGGGCACGGGAAGCUGCGAGCUUCUGGAUUUUGGAGAAGGAAGGCAUGAUGAUGGGGAUUUGGGCGCGAAGACCACCUGGCCCCUGGGGAGCUGCGUCACUCACAUCUGUAUUUUCAGACACGUGGCUCCAUCCCUCAGGCCUCAGUCUUCCCUCCUGGAAGUGGAGGGGACACAAGCUCAGGAGGUUGCCAGGAAAGGCUUACGAGAGACGUGCGUGCAAAGAGCAGUAACGCUCCUCUUGGACUGCCCGCGUCCCCAACCGCCUCCAGCAAGAGGUUUCAUGGAUGCCUGACAUUUCGUUAUUCAUGUAUAUUCCUCGGAUGAGCAUCGCUUUUUACAAAGGCCAGUAUCCUGUGAGGAUCCCCUGCUUGCUUCUGGGGAAGGAUAUAGGGGAUGGGAAUAUGGAGACAUCUCACCUUAUAACCUUUUUGUACGUUUACAAUUCUGAGCUAUGUGGGGGCGCCUGGGUGGCUCCCUCAGUUAAGCAUCUGACUCUUGAUUGAAAUCAAGAUCAUAUCUCACAGUUUGUGAGUUCGAGCCCCGCGUCAGGGUUUGUGUGGACAGCACCGAGCCUGCUUGGGGUUCUCUCUCUCCCUCUCUCUCUCAAAAUCAGUAAGUAAACAUUAACAAAAA